rnacentral:rRNA from 1 species
CGGAAACGAGAUAUCUGAACCUUCGGGGAACGAUAUCGGCGUCGAGCGGCGGACGGGUGAGUAAUGCCUGGGAAAUUGCCCUGAUGUGGGGGAUAACCAUUGGAAACGAUGGCUAAUACCGCAUAAUAGCUUCGGCUCAAAGAGGGGGACCUUCGGGCCUCUCGCGUCAGGAUAUGCCCAGGUGGGAUUAGCUAGUUGGUGAGGUAAGGGCUCACCAAGGCGACGAUCCCUAGCUGGUCUGAGAGGAUGAUCAGCCACACUGGAACUGAGACACGGUCCAGACUCCUACGGGAGGCAGCAGUGGGGAAUAUUGCACAAUGGGCGCAAGCCUGAUGCAGCCAUGCCGCGUGUGUGAAGAAGGCCUUCGGGUUGUAAAGCACUUUCAGUCGUGAGGAAGGUAGUGUGUUUAAUAGAUGCAUUAUUUGACGUUAGCGACAGAAGAAGCACCGGCUAACUCCGUGCCAGCAGCCGCGGUAAUACGGAGGGUGCGAGCGUUAAUCGGAAUUACUGGGCGUAAAGCGCAUGCAGGUGGUGUGUUAAGUCAGAUGUGAAAGCCCGGGGCUCAACCUCGG